rnacentral:misc_RNA from 1 species
UCACCCCUCAAGCCCCGUGCUUGGUGUUGGACGGCUUGGUCGCGUCACCGCGACCCCUCCUAAAGACAAUGACGGCGGCCUGUGGUUCCCCCGGUACACUGAGCUUUUAACUGAGCACGUAUUGGACAAGGGCACCCGGGACCCGGUCUUCUCCCUUUACCGGGAAAUUUUCAAU